UGGAUCUCCUGAAGCUGCUGCUGCUCCUCUCUCUCUGAAUGAAGAUUGAGCUUCAGCCCAAACUGCAACUCCCGUCCUCUGUCCAACAUCUAGGUUUUUUACUCCAGGUUACCAAAGAGUUGAAUCUCCGGGACGAACCCAAGAGAAGCUUACAGUUUGAGCCCACAAGGGAUUCCCUGGGCCGUCUCAAAUCUGUACUGUAACAAUUUGGUGCUGCGAGCAGAGUUCCAACAAGGGCUAUGUUUGAGUGAAACUGGAAAGGAGGAGCUCCACCUCCGGGUCGGACUCGUGACCAAUGGGCCCAUGAGGGAACACCUCUGGGACACCCGGACCAACCAACCCAACCACCCCGUGGCUCAACACUUCAACUCCCCCUCCCACUCCACCAAGGACAUGCAGGUCCUUGGACUCCUCCAUUGCCAGACCAUAACAACACGACGGCUGGAGGAAGAAUGCCUCAUCUUCCGCCUGGGAACCCUCCAACCACAAGGGAUGAACUCCGAUUUCUCCAGUUUCCUCAUUUCCCCUCCCCCCACCUUGUCUCAGUCAAAUCCCUUGAACUCAGCACCGCCCUCCUAACCUGCAAUCUUCUCCCUGACCUCUCCGCCCCCACCCCACCCCGGCCUAUCACCCUCACCUUGACCUCCUUCCACCUAUCGCAUCUCCAUCGCCCCUCCCCCAAGUCUCUCCUCUCUCCCUUUUAUCUGAGCCUGCUGGACACACUCUCCUCAUUCCUGAAGAAGGGCUUAUGCCCGAUACGUUGAAUCUCCUGCUCCUUGGAUGCUGCCUGACCUGCUGCGCUUUUCCAGCAACACAUUUUCAGCUCUGAUCUCCAGCAUCUGCAGACCUCACUUUCUCCUCCAUUCUUUUCUUAACCACCUCAUCAACCGCAGCGACCCUCACGUUCACCCUCUGUUUCUGUCUCCCGUCCUCUCUCUUUACAAACACUUUCUGUGCCUCUCUUAACAAUUCAUCUCAUGGUUUUUCACUCCACCCUUCUAUCUUCUGUAUCUUUCUCUGUAUGUCUGGCCAUGCCUUUGUCACAAAAUGUACUUUCAAAAGACCCUGUGUCACUGGGUCCUCAGGGUUCAUUCCAGAAUAUUUCCGCAUUGAGUCUUAGCAAGAAAGUUGAAGGAGUCUCAUCUUUCUCCUGUCUAACUUCAAAGGCUGUAGUCAAAUUCUGCGACUUGGGAAAUGCCUCUCUUAGUCCUUUUAGAAUCAGGUCUUUCAAUUCCCUCAUUUCUGCUCUAUGCUCCGGGGUUUUGAUUUUCCCACUGGGGGGUCUCUGAGGGGAAACUUCGUCUCUCCCUGUCCAGCAUCGCCAUCCCCAAUCGGGUGUUCCCUGUCCCAUAUUUUAAUGGCUGCUUCUCGUAUAAGUCCCCUUUCCUCCCCAGUAAAUAGUCUCUUCAAAAUAGACAUUAACUCAGCCCACGUAUACAGACUGGGCCCCAAGAAUUGAUCACUUUGUUCAGACCCCCCUACCGGAUCCUCAACCAGGACCUUCAUUUCCUUUUUAAAUGUUCUGACCUCCCCACUGGUGAGGGGGGGCACUUACAAACCCAAUCUCUUUGUCCCCUAUUGGUACCUCCUGAAGGGGAUAAGUCAUUACGUUCUUCCCAUUUUUUUUGUUUUGCCCCCUUAGGCUUUUUAGCUCCUCCAGAGACCUCCUCUACGUCUACUUUAUCUUCCCUUUCUUUUGUUGAGGCUUGAAGGUCAGGAACAACAACAUCCCCGUCCACUGUCCCUUCGUCGUCCUCUUGUGGGUCAUCCAUUCCCAGUCCCUGUCUGUCUGUCUUCCCUCCUCCCCCAUUUUCA